rnacentral:misc_RNA from 1 species
AACUUUUGGCAAUGGAUCUCUUGGCUCUCGCAUCGAUGAAGACCGCAGCGAAAUGCGAUAAGUAAUGUGAAUUGCAGAAUUCAGUGAAGCAUCGAAUCUUUGAACGCACCUUGCGCUCCUUGGUAUUCCGAGGAGCAUGCCUGUUUGAGGGCCAUUAAUAUAAAUAUCAGCCCUCUCUUGUUGAGUGGUUUGGAUGUGGGGGUUUGCUGGCCUCUUAAAGGGGGUUCAGCUCUCCUGAAAUGCAUUAGCAGAACAACCUGUUCAUUGGUGUGAUAACUAUCUACGCUAUUGAAUGUGAAGGGAAGUUCAGCUUUCUAACAGUCCUUGGACAAUUUACAUCAUUAAUGUGACCUCAAAUCAGGUAGGACUACCCGCUGAACUUAAGCAUAUCAAUAAGCGGAGGCU